GUGCCAGCAGCCGCGGUAAUACAGAGACCUCAAGCGUUAUCCGGAUUUAUUGGGCGUAAAGAGCUGGUAGGUGGUUAUAUUAGUCAGAUGUCAAAUCUCGGAGCUCAACUUCGAAACUGCAUUUGAAACGGUAUAACUAGAGGGUGUGAGAGAUCUAUGGAACUCAUGGUGUAGCAGUGAAAUGCGUUGAUAUCAUGAGGAACACCAAAGGCGAAGGCAUUAGAUUGGCACACUCCUGACACUGAGCAGCGAAAGCGUGGGUAGCGAAUGGGAUUAGAAACCCCCGUAGUCC
rnacentral:rRNA from 1 species